CUCAGGGAGUCCAAUUAGCAAGCCAUCGCCCUAAUGCCACUGUGAACUCACAAUGGCUGGGCUGGUGGAAGAGCACGGAUGAAAGAAGGGAUGGCAGUGUUGGUUCAGCAUUGGAAGAGCCACCCCCAAAAGUCAUCAUUUAAACAGAGGAAAGGAAAAAGCCAUAUGAUCCUGUCACUAGUUGGAGAAAAAGUAUUGGACUAAAUUCUACAGCUGUUCAUGGUAAAAGCUAUCAGGAGUCUAGAAGUAGAACAGAAACUUCUCAACUGAUUGAAGACAUGUACUCCAUACUUCCAGCAAGAAUGCCUUAUAUGAAUGGAGAAGAUACAAUGCUUUCUUCUUAAGGGUGAGGUGGUGGUGCUUCUGGUGCCCACACAGCUUACCUUCUGUGCCCUAGGAGCUGGGAUGGCAGCAAGGGAGCUUCCUUCCGGGUGCUGGGACCGGCUGACCUUCACUGCCCCAACUCUUCAAGGAGAACACAGUGCAUUGUUGGAUCAUGGCUGACAUCAGGCCUUCCUGGUCAUCGAGGAAGAGUUGCUUGCUGCUCCUGCUCCGGGUCUCCAAGAAAUUGGAAAGCCCUUGAUCUAUUUCCACAAAGGACAAGGAGUAAAACCCAGAGUAUUACCCCAAACUGAGCUCGAAGGUCACUCUCACUGAAACCCGACUCUACACAUGGGCCUGUGCAGGUGUUUGAUGGGUGAGCUUUCAACGUCAGAGGACCCAAAGCUCCACCCUGAAGUCACAUCGAUGCUACCACUUCCUGAAUGCUUCCCAAGAAGAAUUAUGAAAAUUGAUUAUUUAUACAAAAACUACCAAGCACUUCACCUCCAAUCACCUCUCCCCAGGCUUCAAUCACCCCACUUCCCACCAGUACCCAUCGAUGUUACCUGCAGUCUCCUGUCACCUCACAUGUGACCAGCUCAUAAGGAAACUGUCACUCUUUGGCAAAAUUAUUGUUUUAGUGACAGGCAGACUGCACAGCAGGCAAAACGGGCAUGGGUCCAUAAUGUUGGCUUCUGUAAAUAUGGGGCAGUCACUGUUUUCAUGACAUAAAAGGGAGGUCAUGGGUGGAGGACACAGGGCUGUGGCUUGGGAGGCUGAGUGUCCAACCUGGCCUCAUGCAAAUCAGUGUCCUGUGGAAGGGCAACUCAGCGAGAAAAUGAGGGUGGUCAGCUGGGUUUCCUCCCUCCCUAAGAGCCUCAAUUUAAAAUGCCCAAACUCUAAAAGUGAAUUCAGUCCCUUUGAAGAGUUACCCUCAAAUAAAAUAUUAACUUGUAAGUAAAAAUGACUCAUUUCUUCUCAGUGUAAUACUCUGAUGAAAUACUCACUUUAAUCUUAAUUUGCCC
rnacentral:lncRNA from 1 species